rnacentral:rRNA from 1 species
AUUGAACGCUGGCGGCAGGCCUAACACAUGCAAGUCGAACGGUAGCACAGAGAGCUUGCUCUCGGGUGACGAGUGGCGGACGGGUGAGUAAUGUCUGGGAAACUGCCCGAUGGAGGGGGAUAACUACUGGAAACGGUAGCUAAUACCGCAUAACGUCGCAAGACCAAAGUGGGGGACCUUCGGGCCUCACACCAUCGGAUGUGCCCAGAUGGGAUUAGCUAGUAGGUGGGGUAAUGGCUCACCUAGGCGACGAUCCCUAGCUGGUCUGAGAGGAUGACCAGCCACGCUGGAACUGGGCCACGGUCCAGACUCCUACGGGAGGCAGCAGUGGGGAAUAUUGCACAAUGGGCGCAAGCCUUAUGCAGCCAUGCCGCGUGUAUGAAGAAGGCCUUCGGGUUGUAAGGCACUUUAAGCGAGGAGGAGGCUCUUUUGGUUAAUACCCAAGAUGAGUGGACGUUACUCGCAGAAUAAGCACCGGCUAACUCUGUGCCAGCCGCCGCAGUAA